UACGUGAACUUUUUGAAACUU
rnacentral:piRNA from 1 species